GUGAGGAAUAUUGGUCAAUGGCCGAGAGGCUGAACCAGCCAAGUCGCGUGAAGGAAGAAGGAUCUAUGGUUUGUAAACUUCUUUUAUAGGGGAAUAAAGUGGAGGACGUGUCCUUUUUUGUAUGUACCCUAUGAAUAAGCAUCGGCUAACUCCGUGCCAGCAGCCGCGGUAAUACGGAGGAUGCGAGCGUUCUCCGGAUGUCUUGGGUUUAAAGGGUGCGUAGGUGGUGAUUUAAGUCAGCGGUGAAAGUUUGUGGCUCAACCAUAAAAUUGCCGUUGAAACUGGGUUACUUGAGUGUGUUUGAGGUAGGCGGAAUGCGUGGUGUAGCGGUGAAAUGCAUAGAUAUCACGCAGAACUCCGAUUGCGAAGGCAGCUUACUAAACCAUAACUGACACUGAAGCACGAAAGCGUGGGGAUCAAACAGGAUUAGAUACCCCUGUAGUCC
rnacentral:rRNA from 1 species